rnacentral:rRNA from 1 species
UGCAGUCGAACGAUGACGGCCGUGCUUGCACGGUCUGAUUAGUGGCGAACGGGUGAGUAACACGUGAGUAACCUGCCCUCCACUUCGGGAUAACCUCGGGAAAUCGUGGCUAAUACCGGAUAUGAGCACUCAUCGCAUGGUGGGUGUUGGAAAGAUUUAUCGGUGGGGGAUGGACUCGCGGCCUAUCAGUUUGUUGGUGAGGUGAUGGCUCACCAAGACGAUGACGGGUAGCCGGCCUGAGAGGGCGACCGGCCACACUGGGACUGAGACACGGCCCAGACUCCUACGGGAGGCAGCAGUGGGGAAUAUUGCACAAUGGGCGAAAGCCUGAUGCAGCGACGCCGCGUGAGGGAUGACGGCCUUCGGGUUGUAAACCUCUUUCAGUAGGGAAGAAGCGAGAGUGACGGUACCUGCAGAAGAAGCGCCGGCUAACUACGUGCCAGCAGCCGCGGUAAUACGUAGGGCGCAAGCGUUGUCCGGAAUUAUUGGGCGUAAAGAGCUUGUAGGUGGCUUGUCGCGUCUGCCGUGAAAACCCGAGGCUCAACCUCGGGCGUGCGGUGGGUACGGGCAGGCUAGAGUGUGGUAGGGGAGACCGGAACUCCUGGUGUAGCGGUGAAAUGCGCAGAUAUCAGGAAGAACACCGAUGGCGAAGGCAGGUCUCUGGGCCAUUACUGACACUGAGAAGCGAAAGCAU